rnacentral:rRNA from 1 species
GUGGGGAAUAUUGGGCAAUGGGGGCAACCCUGACCCAGCAACGCCGCGUGAGGGAAGAAGGUUUUCGGAUUGUAAACCUCUGUCCUAUGGGAAGAAGGAAGUGACGGUACCAUAGGAGGAAGCCCCGGCUAACUACGUGCCAGCAGCCGCGGUAAUACGUAGGGGGCGAGCGUUGUCCGGAAUUACUGGGCGUAAAGGGUGCGCAGGUGGCCUGACAAGUCAGAUGUGAAAUACCGAUGCUUAACGUCGGGGCUGCAUUUGAAACUAUGAGGCUGGAGUGCAGGAGAGGGAAGCGGAAUUCCUAGUGUAGCGGUGAAAUGCAUAGAUAUUAGGAGGAACACCAGUGGCGAAGGCGGCUUUCUGGACGAAAACUGACGCUGAGGCGCGAAAGCCAGGGGAGCGAACGGGAUUAGAUACCCGAGUAGUCC